UACGUAGGGCGCAAGCGUUAUCCGGAAUUAUUGGGCGUAAAGAGCUCGUAGGCGGUUUGUCGCGUCUGCUGUGAAAACGCGAGGCUCAACCUCGCGCCUGCAGUGGGUACGGGCAGACUAGAGUGCGGUAGGGGAGAUUGGAAUUCCUGGUGUAGCGGUGGAAUGCGCAGAUAUCAGGAGGAACACCGGUGGCGAAGGCGGGUCUCUGGGCAACAACUGACGCUGAGGAGCGAAAGCGUGGGGAGCGAACAGG
rnacentral:rRNA from 1 species